GAAUGUGAGGGUGAUCUGUAUGUGACAUCUGUCACCUCAUUGAUCACCAGGAUUGAUUCACCCAAUCUAGGUAGGUGUCCCCUACCUCCCUUACCAUUCCAUGUGUGUCCCUCCCAAAGCUAUGCAUUUGGUCAAAGAGGACAAAUACCCCUGAUAGAGGAGGACCAUUCCCCUGCUAGAACCCCCAGGCAAGCACAGAAGAGCAAAUAUUUUGGAGAGGAAAGAGCUGAGAAUUGAGUCCCCAUAUAUAUGGUACUAUGUCUGUGGCCUUAGCA
rnacentral:sRNA from 1 species